rnacentral:rRNA from 1 species
UACGUAGGGCGCAAGCGUUAUCCGGAAUUAUUGGGCGUAAAGAGCUCGUAGGCGGUUUGUCGCGUCUGCCGUGAAAAUCCGGGGCUCAACUCCGGAUCUGCGGUGGGUACGGGCAGACUAGAGUGAUGUAGGGGAGACUGGAAUUCCUGGUGUAGCGGUGAAAUGCGCAGAUAUCAGGAGGAACACCGAUGGCGAAGGCAGGUCUCUGGGCAUUAACUGACGCUGAGGAGCGAAAGCAUGGGGAGCGAACAGG